UAUUUUGGAGAUAACCUGUACAACUUUGUCCAAGCUGACUUCCAAACUUGUCUUCAUGGUAGUAGUCAGGAACUUUCUCAUGCUUUUCAUCCCCAUGUGUACAUUCCUUCUAUUUCUACAUAACAGGAUGGGAUUCUAUAGCUGGUAUGAGAUGCAUGGCUUCAUUGCUGUGGUUUAGUGGUGAAUGAAACCUGUUAACCUGGCAGUAGCAUUGCCUUGGAGGUGCCUGAACUAAGGUAGAGUUAAGGCUGCUCCCACCGGGCAGAGCAGGACUCACUCAGCAUCCUGCGGUCCCUCUUCUGGUGAACGUAUGAACAACUAUUUCAGGAGCUGAGGAGACAUUCCUUUUGUCUUGUCCUGAUACUCUCUGCAAGUUGUUCUGUUUUCUGCAUUUCGUCUUCUUGCUACAUGCUUUAGUGAAUCGGGAUUUAAAAGGCUCUUGAUUUAAGAUCUCCUUUUAAGAAAGGAAGAGAGGGGGGGAAUUCCUGAAUAUUGAGAAUAGCCUUGUCAGAUUAUCACAAUGUAGGAAAUAUUUAAAUAUUAAAUACAGUAGAACAAUAGCAUUCUACCAAGCUAGUAGACAAACUUUCUAAAUGAAUUAAAUACUUCUGUUCUUCCAUACAUGUACAAAUGUUUUCUCUGUACUAGAAAACGUUUGUUCUACACUUUCUUGUUUCAGUGACGUAGAGCUCUAUAUCCAGGUAUCUCUGAACCUCUGUUUUCUACUUUUAGCUUUAGAUAUCAACAUUACUAUUUGAAUUUCUGGGAGAAUUUUCUAAUCAUAUUAUGGUCUUCUAUUAACCUUUCUCAUUUCUCUGAGAUGUAUUAUCUGUUCUUUGCUUGCCAGUGGCUGAAAUAUUUUUUCCCACUUACUCUUGAGAGGUCUGGGUACAGAAGGGUAUGGAUUCCAUUAACAUUAAUACUUCAAUCACUUCAUUAACUUUUUUCUUUCACUUUACUUUUUGAUCCUUUUCCAGAUGGAAGUGAACAAUGCAUAUCUGCUUAAUCAAUCAUGGCUUUGUAGUUUCUAUAUAUACACACAAAAAAGCAUGUUUCAAUCUCUGUGAUGGAGAAAGAAAAAUCUUAGGGAGUAGUAUUUUAAACAGAUUGCAACAAUGUCGGAACUGAAAUUCAUACUAUACAGAAAAACUGUAGUAAGUUGUUAUACUAUUAAAAUAUUGCCUAAAAAAUU